rnacentral:rRNA from 1 species
UUGUAGUCUAGAGAAUCGUUUUCCGCGUUGGCCUGUGUACAAGUCCCUUGGAACAGGGCGUCAUAGAGGGUGAGAAUCCCGUCCUUGACACAGACUACCAAUGCUUUGUGAUGCGAUCUCGAAGAGUCGAGUUGUUUGGGAAUGCAGCUCAAAAUGGGUGGUAAAUUCCAUCUAAAGCUAAAUAUUGGCGAGAGACCGAUAGCGAACAAGUACCGUGAGGGAAAGAUGAAAAGCACUUUGGAAAGAGAGUUAAACAGUACGUGAAAUUGUUAAAAGGGAAACGAUUGAAGUCAGUCAUGCUUUCCGAGACUCAGCCGAUUCUGUCGGUGUACUUCUCGGUUGGCAGGCCAGCAUCAGUUUCGAUCUGUGGAAAAGGUUGGAGGGAACGUGGCAUCCUCGGAUGUGUUAUAGCCCUUCUUCGAAUACAUAGAGCGGGACUG